UACGGGGGGGGCAAGCGUUGUUCGGAAUUACUGGGCGUAAAGGGCGCGUAGGCGGUGCUCUAAGUCGGAUGUGAAAACUCUGGGCUCAACCCAGAGCCUGCAUCCGAAACUGGAGUGCUAGAGUUCUGGAGGGGGUAGCGGAAUUCCUGGUGUAGCGGUGAAAUGCGUAGAUAUCAGGAGGAACACCGGUGGCGAAGGCGGCAUCCUGGACCAAUUCUGACACUGAGGAGCGAAAGCCAGGGGAGCAAACGGG
rnacentral:rRNA from 1 species